rnacentral:misc_RNA from 1 species
UUUACUGUUUUUAUAUUAUUCGAUAGUUUUGUACGAAAAAAGGUAAAUUUACUCAGAGAUACGAGAUUCCUAGAGAACAAGAGCCAAUGAAAGCAUAAGGGGAAGCACCGGGUGUUCACCAAUCCUGAGCAGCUGGCAGAGGAGCAGAAGAGGGAGGAGCGAGAGCGGGAGUGGCGCCAGAAGAGGGGAGAGGAGUCGGAGUCAGAGUCCGGCUCAGGCUCUGGCUCAGAGUCAGACUCAUCUAGUGAGGAGGAGCAGAAGCAGCAGGCAGCCAAGCCAAAAGGUCCUGCAGUCUCAGUUGAGAACCCAAACCGUGUGCAGCAGCGUAACAAAAAGCUCUCACAGCUGAAUGUAGAAGAGAAGGCGCCCCAGCAACUGUCACGCCGCGAGAGGGAAGCCAUUGAAAAGGAGAAGGCGCGGCAGCACUAUCAGAAACUGCACGCCCAGGGUAAGACGGCCGAGGCGCAGGCCGACCUGGCACGGUUGGCUAUCAUCCGAAAACAGAGGGAGGAGGCGGCCAAAAAGCGCGAGGAAGAGAAGAAAGCCAAGGAGGCAGCUAAGGAGGCCGGCAGGUCCAAGCGGUAGCCGGCGGCUCGGCGUGCGCCCCGCCGUUCCCGUUCGGUCCUUCGUUAUGUCGUUGGAUCGUGUCGCUUCAUCAGGCGAGGCCGCCGGGCGCCCCGCUGCAUUCGCUCUCGCCCUUUCGCUCGCGUUUCUGAUGGUUUCACAUUAUUAAUACUAGGCCGUGAUGGCGUUUAAGCGUUUCGAGCGAUAAUACACGAGUUUGAACCGGUGA